AAGCUGAUCCUUCCUAUGGCAUCCUUUAUGCCUACAUUUCCACACUCAACAUUGAUGAUGAAACUACAAAAGUAGUUCGAAAUAGAUGUUCCAGCUGUGGUUAUAUUGUAAAUGAAGCAUCUAACAUGUGCACAACUUGCAACAAAAACUCCUUGGACUUUAAAUCUGUCUUUCUCAGUUUCCAUGUGCUGAUUGAUCUGACUGAUCACACAGGCACCCUUCAUUCCUGUAGUCUCACAGGAAGUGUUGCUGAGGAGACUUUGGGCUGCACGGUACAUGAGUUUCUUGCAAUGACAGAUGAACAGAAAACAGCAUUAAAGUGGCAAUUUCUCUUGGAAAGAAGCAAAAUUUAUUUAAAAGUUAGUGCAUUUUAUAGUCCCAUAUUAUUCUAUAUAUUUAUUAUUCUGUAUAUUCAAACCAUAAGAAAAACCUAGAUAAAUUCGAGAAUUUAUUAUUUCU
rnacentral:ncRNA from 2 species